AUCGAAAGGGAAGCCGGUUAAAAUUCCGGCGCCAGGAUGUGGAUGAUAGACGGCAACGUAAACGAACCAGGAGACGUCGGCGAGGGCCCUGGAAAGAGUUAUCUUUUCUUUCUUACAGUCUGUCACCCUGAAAUCGAUUUGUUCGGAGAUAGGGUUCCAUGGCUGGUAGAGCUCGGCACUUCUGCCGAGUCCGGUGCGUCCUCGACGGCCCUUGAAAAUCCUGGGGAGCAAACAUUUCACGCCUGGUCGUACUGAUAACCGCAGCAGGUCUCCUAGGUUAACAGCCUCUAGUUGAUAGAAUAAUGUGGAUAAGGGAAUUCGGCAAAAUGGAUCCGUAACUUCGGGAUAAGGAUUGGCUCUAAGGGUUGGGUAUAUCGGGCCCUGGCGGGAAGCCGCUGAUGCUGGACUGGACUGCUGUGUGGCAACAUGCGGUGGACCGGACCGGCGUCGGCGUGUGGACGGCCAGGGCAGUCCCUCGGGACGGCCGGUAUACAUUUAACAACCAGCUUAGAACUGGUACGGACAAGGGGAAUCUGACUGUCUAAUUAAAACAUAGCAUUGCGAUGGCCAGAAAGUGGUGUUGACGCAAUGUGAUUUCUGCCCAGUGCUCUG
rnacentral:rRNA from 1 species